AUAGGGUGUGGAGAACAGGGCUUCCCGUCCGCUCAGCCGUACUUAAGCCACACGCCGGGAGGUUAGUAGUUGGGUGGGUGACCACCAGCGAAUCCCUCCUGUUGUAUGUC
rnacentral:rRNA from 1 species